AUCAACAGUCUUCCUCACUUUGCAUGCCAAGCACCAAAAAAAAACAAACCCCCAUCUGGCUGUGAAAAAUAUAGACAGAGGCAAAACAAAGGCAACACAAGUUACAGGACUGAGAUUACAUUUGCAAAGGUUGGCCGCCCAGUGAGACUCAAUAGUUUGCCUUUGCGACCCUGGAGCCGGUGUGGUUUGGGGAUGCUGAAGAAGCCACAGGCAGCCGGCCUGGACUGGAAUACUGAGCAAAGGUCUCUGAAAGGGACGCCCCAAAAGACCCCAAGGUGAAAAACCCAAGCGUGGAAGCAAGUUGGAGAUUUUUUUUUUUUUUUGUGUGCAGUGUUCCUCUGGUCUAUUGGAAUUUAACCACCUAAGUUGUAUGAAAGGAAUGUCAAGGAAAAGAACAUGUGUAGUGUAUAUUGUAAAAGGGGUGAGGAAAAUGCAAAUAUGCAAUGCUACUUAAUUAAAAUCCUCUUAGGCUCCAAGGGGCUACAAUAGGUGGUGUUUUCCUUUUUGGAUUACUCUGUGUUUUUGAAAACAGGAGUUAAAGGUAACAGGCAAUCAGAACUCUGGUUCCUGCUGCUGCUGUUGCCAGCUUUGGAUGGUGCUAGGCAGCUCUCUUGUCUCUGUUGUUGCCUGACUCUUAGGGGCUGAAUAGCAGAAGAUGCUUUUGAAGCAUACAAAUGAUCCUCCUGGAGCAGUUAAACCUGAAAUUCAACCCUUGCCUAUCCUGAUUUUCCUGGAAGACUCGAUGGACUGCUGGAGAAAGAGUUGUCUUGUGAGAUCACCAGAGACUGAAAUCAGAGCAGUUGAGAGGAGAAGGGGUGUUUGGUCAGGCUGCUUAAAUCUGGUUUGAUUUUUGUUAACAAACAUGUUACUUUAACAUCCACCAUUGGGGAAAAAAUCUUUCUUUGCAAAAGAUUAAAAAAUUCGUCCCCCUUCAAUUGAGGGCUGUUCUCGAGUCCUCCAGCCAACCCAAAGUCAAGAGCUGAUAAUUCUAACAUUAAAAUAAUCCAAACAAGCAGGAAACUCCCCCCAAACUUUUCAGGCUUUCAUUUUACAUUACAGUGAAGCCCAAAAGCCACAAACACAAUGUUCCUUUUCUUUGCUGGCCACUUCUGUUUUAAUAAUUAGAAGACCGGGGUCUUCUGUCUUUCCUACUAGAAAUGUUUUCUCUUUGACUCUCCAUUGCAAUGUUAAAUGGCUCCUCUUGAGUACUUUGUAAUGUUUUUACUUUUUAUUGUUUAGUCUCCUAGAUGUUUGUAAGUAAUAUUUCUAUCCCUGGCGGCUUGGCCCUUUAUGCAUUUGGGUAACAUUGCGCGCUUACUUUUGCUUUACCCCUGCCUCUCUGUGCAGCGGUAGCUAUGAGAUACGGUAGUGAUGUCUAUUGUGCAGUCUGUCCCCCGUAACCUUUCAUUUAAGUAUGGUGAAGACCUUUCCUGACAGGGUUAACUGCUUGUGCUCCCAUUGUGUGACUGGCAGGCUGUGUGUAACUACAGGAGGGGUCGGCAACCUUUCAGAAGUGUGUGCCGAGUCUUCAUUUAUUCACUCUAAUUUAAGGUUUUG